AUGGGAGACCUCGCCGGCUUAACGCUCACCUCGGUGUCUGCAGCACCCUCUGCUUCUCUCCCAGGUGAUGAAACCCAGCAGCUAGAAAUUCACCAUGUCUAUUCUCAAGAUCCAUGCCAGGGAGAUCUUUGACUCUCGUGGGAAUCCCACUGUUGAGGUUGAUUUCUUCACUGCAAAACGUCUCUUCAGAGCUGCUGGUUAGCAAGACACUGAACAUCACAGAACAAGAGAAGAUUGACAAACUGAUGAUUGAGAUGGAUGGAACAGAAAAUAAAUAUAAUUUUGGUGCGAACGCCAUUCUGGGGGUGUCCCUCGUCAUCUGCAAAGUUGGUGCUAUUGAGAACGGGGUCCCCCAUACUGCUACAUUGCUGACUUGGCUGGCAACUCCGAAGUCAUUCUGCCAGUCCUGGUGUUCAAUGUCAUCAAUGGUGGUUCCCAUGCUGGCAACAAGCUGGCCAUGCAGGAGUUCAUGAUCCUCCCAGUGGGUGCCACAAACUUCAGGGAAGCCACGCAUAUUGGAGCAGAGGUUUACUACAUCCUGAAGAAUGUCAUCAAGGAAAAAUAUGGGAAAGAUGCCACGAAAAUGGGGGAUGAAGGCAGGUUUGCUCCCCAAAUCCUGGAGAAUAAAGAAGGCCUGGAGCUGCUGAAGACUGAUUAGGAAAGCUGGCUACACCGGUAAGGUGGUUAUUGGCAUGGACGUAGUGGCCUCCAUUUCUUCAGGUCUGGGAAGUAUGACCUCACCUUCAAGUCUCCCAGUGACCCCAGCAGUUACAUCUCACCUGGCCAGCUGGCUGACCUGUAGAAGUCCUUCAUUAAGGACUACCCAGUGGUGUCUAUCCAGGAUCCCUUUGACCAUGAUGACUGGGGAGCUUAGCAGAAGUUCACGGCCAGUGCAGGAAUCCAGGUAGUAGGGGAUGAUCUCACAGUGACCAACCCAAAGAGGAUUGUCAAGGCCACGAAUGAGAAGUCAUGCAACUGCCUCCUGCUCAAAGUGAACCAGAUUGGCUUCGUGACCAAGUCCCUGCAGGCGUGCAAACUGGCCCAGGCCUGUGGUUGGGGCAUCGUGGUGUCUCAUCAUUCUGGGGAGACUGAAGAUACCUUCAGCGCUGGCCUGGUGGUGGGGCUGUGCGCUGGGCAGAUCAAGACUGAUUCCCCUUGCUGAUUUGAGCACUUAGCCAAGUACAACCAGCUCCUCAGAAAUGAAGACGAGCUGGGCAGCAAGGCUAAGUUUGCCAGCAGGAACUUCAGAAACCCCCUGGCCAAGUAAGCUGUGGGCAGGCCAGCCUUUCAGUCACCUCUUGGCUAAUUAGACCCCUCCCCUCGUGUCAGCUCAGGCAGCUCGAGGCCCCCGGCCAACACUUGCAGGGGCCCUGCUAGUAGCUCCACUUGCCCACUGCUGUGGAGUUCACACUGCUUCCUUAGAACUUCUACAGCGGCCAAGCUCCCUGAAGCUGGGCAGUUCUAGCUUUGCAGUCGCGUAACUGGCCCAAAUCAUUGCUUUUCUCGCCUCACUUUUCACCAAGUGUCUGGAGCCAUGUGAGCCUCCAGUGUCACCUCUGGGGUGGCCACAGGCAAGAUCCCCAGUGGUUUUGUGCUCAAAAUAAAAAGCCUUAGUGACCCAUGGGGAAAAAAAAAAAU